rnacentral:rRNA from 1 species
ACGAGUGGCGGACGGGUGAGUAAUGUCUGGGAAACUGCCUGAUGGAGGGGGAUAACUACUGGAAACGGUGGCUAAUACCGCAUAACGUCGCAAGACCAAAGAGGGGGACCUUCGGGCCUCUUGCCAUCAGAUGUGCCCAGAUGGGAUUAGCUUGUUGGUGAGGUAACGGCUCACCAAGGCGACGAUCCCUAGCUGGUCUGAGAGGAUGACCAGCCACACUGGAACUGAGACACGGUCCAGACUCCUACGGGAGGCAGCAGUGGGGAAUAUUGCACAAUGGGCGCAAGCCUGAUGCAGCCAUGCCGCGUGUAUGAAGAAGGCCUUCGGGUUGUAAAGUACUUUCAGCGGGGAGGAAGGUGUUGUGGUUAAUAACCGCAGCAAUUGACGUUACCCGCAGAAGAAGCACCGGCUAACUCCGUGCCAGCAGCCGCGGUAAUACGGAGGGUGCAAGCGUUAAUCGGAAUUACUGGGCGUAAAGCGCACGCAGGCGGUCUGUCAAGUCGGAUGUGAAAUCCCCGGGCUCAACCUGGGAACUGCAUUCGAAACUGGCAGGCUUGAGUCUUGUAGAGGGGGGUAGAAUUCCAGGUGUAGCGGUGAAAUGCGUAGAGAUCUGGAGGAAUACCGGUGGCGAAGGCGGCCCCCUGGACAAAGACUGACGCUCAGGUGCGAAAGCGUGGGGAGCAAACAGGAUUAGAUACCCUGGUAGUCCACGCCGUAAACGAUGUCUACUUGGAGGCUGUGCCCUUGAGGCGUGGCUUCCGGAGCUAACGCGUUAAGUAGACCGCCUGGGGAGUACGGCCGCAAGGUUAAAACUCAAAUGAAUUGACGGGGGCCCGCACAAGCGGUGGAGCAUGUGGUUUAAUUCGAUGCAACGCGAAGAACCUUACCUGGUCUUGACAUCCACAGAAGUUUGCAGAGAUGCGAAUGUGCCUUCGGGAACUGUGAGACAGGUGCUGCAUGGCUGUCGUCAGCUCGUGUUGUGAAAUGUUGGGUUAAGUCCCGCAACGAGCGCAACCCUUAUCCUUUGUUGCCAGCGGUUAGGCCGGGAACUCAAAGGAGACUGCCAGUGAUAAACU